CGUUCUAUUGCCGAAUUGGUAAAGGCAUCGCCGAUCACACAGGCGAGGGUGCGGGUUCGAGUCCCGCUGGAACGG
rnacentral:tRNA from 1 species